rnacentral:lncRNA from 1 species
GGUAAGGGGUCAAGGAUCUCCUUGACGUCGAAGGCCGCGGCCGAGGCGACGAGGAGAAGAAGGAAGGGUAAGGGUUUGGAGGCCAUUUUAUCGAGAACAGCGGCCUUGGCCGUGUCUUCACCUCGGAGGGCUUCGGGAUGUCGUCCGAUUGAACAGAAGAGGCGUGAAGGGUAUAUAUAUGGAUAGAGAGAUAGACGCUCGCAGGACGUUGCCAACUUUGGAUGUGUUCGCCCGCGAUCAUGGAU